rnacentral:rRNA from 1 species
AACUCAAAUCAUGUAAGAUUUUUAAUGGUCGAACAGACCAACCUUUGGUAACUGCUGCAUUACCGGGGUAACUUAAUUCAACAUCGAGGUGUCAAACUUUAUCUUCGAUACCGUCUCUAAGGAUAAAAUUAACCUGUUAUCCCUAAAGUAGCUUUUAUUUAAUUGUUGUCAUCGAUUGUUUUAAACUAAUGACAGGUCAUUAAUCCCCACUUUGUGAUUGUUAAAUUUAUUAAUUAAACAAUAAAUAAUUUCGUAUUUAAUCGUAACAGUAUAUGUUUUGGUUGCUAUUCUUUCUUUCUAAAAUGCCGUUGCCCCAACGAAACUAACCCCCUAAUUAAUAUUUUAAUUAAAAUAAGUUUUUAUUUUUAUUAAGGUAAAAAGGUUAUAGUUAAGCUUUAUAGGGUCUUCUCGUCUUACAGUUCUAAACAGCAUCUUCACUGUUAUUUAAAUUUUAAAGGGUUUAUAUUCAAGACAGUGGAAACCUCGUGAAGCCAUUCACCUACGUUCGUCAAUUAAACAACUAUUUAUUUUCCUACAUUAUCACCGUCAAGAUACAGCGGCCGUUAAACUUAAUUUUAAGAUUGUUAGUCUCAAUAGAUAAGUCACCGGGCAGGCAACGCCCUAAAUAGUUUAUUAGGGUUAUGUUUUUGGUAAACAGUCG